GCAAUCUCUCUCGUUCCUGAAUGAAUUUCUUUCUGGAUUGGUGAGAUGCAGGGGAGCACAACAGCCCAAAGCAGACAGGAAGUGGUAAACUGACACACUCUAAAAUGCUACAGAGGACUCCACCCGUGUGAAGCUGCUGAACUCUACCUCCCUUGCUCCAAAACCAGGCAGUUUGUUUCCCCUCUCAUCCAGUGCUUCGCGAUGAAAAGGGGUAUCCUGAAGCUACAGAUAUUUGCAGAGAAAACAGAACCCUCCGCCUCAGAGGUAUACUCUGAAAACCUUAAACUUCCUUAGAUGAAAACUUCAAAAAUAUCUGGUUUGCUAAUAGUGCAAAACUCGUAAAAUCUCCAAUUUUACUCUAGUUUUGGAUGAAUUAGGAGGGCCCAAAACAGCGGGAGGCUUGGUUAUACACAGAUUUUACUGAUGUUUGGGCUUCUCUUUUUUUCUCCUAAAAUACAGAUGGAAAAAAUUUAUAUAGAGCUGAGGCUCUAAACAAAGAUUUCCAGUAUUGAAACCGCAUUUCUUGACACUAUUUGAAGGUGCACUCUAAUUUGAUUGUUUAGAGCCUCAGUUUUAUACAAACCGCACCCAAUAGCAAAUUUGAUCAUUUUGAGCAAGAGAAUAAGGCGAUAAUGCAGGAGGACUUGGCUUCCUUGUCUUCUUUAGGUGAAUGGAGAAGAAAGGAACAAUAAGUGAAGAGGGGUAUGUAAUCUAAGCAAGGGCUUCUGUAAAUGGGAGGAUAUGGG
rnacentral:lncRNA from 1 species